UUUCCGUAGGUGAACCUGCGGAAGGAUCAUUACUGAGUGUCUGGGUCCCCUGCGGACCCAACCUCCCAACCCUUUGUGUACCUGUCCAUGUUGCUUCGGCGGAGACCGACCGCGUCCUCUCUCGCAUGAGGGGGGCCGGCCACCCGCCGAAGGUCCAUUACCAAACUCUUGAUAUUUACAAUGUCGUCUGAGUCUUUGAUAUAAUCAAAACAAAACUUUCAACAACGGAUCUCUUGGUUCUGGCAUCGAUGAAGAACGCAGC
rnacentral:misc_RNA from 1 species